rnacentral:rRNA from 1 species
ACUCCUACGGGAGGCAGCAGUGGGGAAUAUUGCACAAUGGGCGCAAGCCUGAUGCAGCCAUGCCGCGUGUAUGAAGAAGGCCUUCGGGUUGUAAAGUACUUUCAGCAGUGAGGAAGGUGGAUAUGUUAAUAGCAUAUUCAUUUGACGUUAGCUGCAGAAGAAGCACCGGCUAACUCCGUGCCAGCAGCCGCGGUAAUACGGAGGGUGCGAGCGUUAAUCGGAAUUACUGGGCGUAAAGCGCAUGCAGGUGGUUUGUUAAGUCAGAUGUGAAAGCCCGGGGCUCAACCUCGGAAUUGCAUUUGAAACUGGCAAACUAGAGUACUGUAGAGGGGGUAGAAUUUCAGGUGUAGCGGUGAAAUGCGUAGAGAUCUGAAGGAAUACCGGUGGCGAAGGCGGCCCCCUGGACAGAUACUGACACUCAGAUGCGAAAGCGUGGGGAGCAAACAGGAUUAGAUACCCUGGUAGGC